GGCUCUGUGGCGCAAUGGACAGCGCAUUGGACUUCUAAUUCAAAGGUUGUGGGUUCAAGUCCCACCAGUGAGUCA